AACGAACGCUGGCGGCGUGCCUAACACAUGCAAGUCGAGCGCGAAAAGGGCAACCUGAGUAGAGCGGCGCACGGGUGCGUAACACGUGGGUAAUCUGCCUUAGAGUCGAGGAUAACCUUCCGAAAGGUUGGCUAAUACUCGGUAAGCUUACGGUGUCUUCGGACGCUGUGGGAAAAGUAGGCCUCUGUUUACAAGCUUACGCUCUGAGAUGAGCCCGCGGCCCAUCAGCUAGUUGGCGGUGUAACGGACCACCAAGGCAACGACGGGUAGCUGGUCAGAGAGGACGAUCCGCCACACUGGAACAGGGACACGGGCGAGACUCCUGCGGGAGGCAGCAGUGGGGAAUUUUCCACAAUGGGCGAAAUCCUGAUGGAGCAACGCAGCGUGUGUGAUGAAGGUUUUCGGAUCGUAAAGCACUUUCGACCGGGACGAAAAACCUCUGGCUAACAUCCAGGGGCCUGACGGUACCGGGAGAAGAAGCACCGGCUAACUCUGUGCCAGCCGCCGCCGUAA
rnacentral:rRNA from 1 species